AAGGAUCAUUACAGAGUUCAUGCCCUCACGGGUAGAUCUCCCACCCUUGAAUAUUAUACCUUAGUUGCUUUGGCAGGCCGGGGCAACCCCCGGGGCUUCGGCCUUGGUGUGCCUGCCAGAGGAAACAAACUCUGUUUUUAGUGAUGUCUGAGUACUAUAUAAUAGUUAAAACUUUCAACAACGGAUCUCUUGGUUCUGGCAUCGAUGAAGAACGCAGCGAAAUGCGAUAAGUAAUGUGAAUUGCAGAAUUCAGUGAAUCAUCGAAUCUUUGAACGCACAUUGCGCCCCGUGGUAUUCCGCGGGGCAUGCCUGUUCGAGCGUCAUUUCAACCCAUCAAGCUUCGGCUUGGUCUUGGGGCAUGCGAUUCCGCAGCCUCUAAACACAGUGGCGGUGCCUCCGAGCUCUGAGCGUAGUAAUUCUUCUCGCUAUAGGGUCUCGGUGGUGUCUUGCCAGUAACCCCCAAUUUUUUACAGGUUGACCUCGGAUCAGGUAGGGAUACCCGCUGAACUUAAGCAUAUCAAUAAGCGGAGGAAAAGAAACCAACAGGGAUUACCUCAGUAACGGCGAGUGAAGCGGUAACAGCUCAAAUUUGAAAUCUGCCGCAAGGCCGAGUUGUAAUUUGUAGAAGAUGCUUUGGGUAUGGCCCCGGUCUAAGUUCGUUGGAACACGACGUCAUAGAGGGUGAGAAUCCCGUAUGUGACUGGGUGCUUUUGCCUAUGUAAAGCUCUUUCGACGAGUCGAGUUGUUUGGGAAUGCAGCUCAAAAUGGGUGGUAUAUUUCAUCUAAAGCUAAAUAUUGGCCAGAGACCGAUAGCGCACAAGUAGAGUGAUCGAAAGAUGAAAAGCACUUUGGAAAGAGAGUUAAACAGUACGUGAAAUUGUUGAAAGGGAAGCGCUUGCAACCAGACUUGCACGCUGUUGAUCAUCCAGGCUUCUGUCUGGUGCACUCGGCAGCGUUCAGGCCAGCAUCGGUUCUGGUGGUGGGAUAAAGGCCUUGGGAAUGUAGCUUCUUUCGGGGAGUGUUAUAGCCCUCGGUGCAAUGCCGCCUAUCGGGACCGAGGACCGCGCUUCGGCUAGGAUGCUGGCGUAAUGGUUGUAAGCGACC
rnacentral:rRNA from 1 species